rnacentral:rRNA from 1 species
UACAGAGGGUGCAAGCGUUAAUCGGAAUUACUGGGCGUAAAGCGUGCGUAGACGGUUGCGUAAGUCAGAUGUGAAAGCCCCGGGCUCAACCUGGGAAUUGCAUUUGAGACUGCGUAGCUAGGGUGCGGAAGAGGGAAGCGGAAUUUCCGGUGUAGCGGUGAAAUGCGUAGAUAUCGGAAGGAACACCAGUGGCGAAAGCGGCUCCUGGUCCAGCACCGACGUUCAGGCACGAAAGCGUGGGGAGCAAACAGG